GUGUCAUCGUUGAUAAAGUAAGGGAAAAGAAAUGAUAUUACCUUACUAUUAGUGUCGUCCAAGUACUCGUGCCAGAAGACUCGGUAAGGCGAGAGACGCAAACGUUAGUCGUCCUAAUCAGGCGUAAAGGGUUUGUAGGCAGCUUUGAGAAUUUAUUCCCUUCUCCCUCCCCUAAAGGGGGUGAAGUUAAAGGAAUAGGUCAAUUAAAGCUAGAAUCAAGUAGAGGUUAAUUAAAUAAUGUUUGAACAUAGGGUUGAUAUCUAUAGAAUUCAAAUGGAAUACUAACGGCGAAGGCUUUUUUCCAAUAAUGAUUGACGCUGAGAAACUAAGGUGAGGAAAGAAAAAAGGAUUAGAGACCCUCGUAUCCCUCACUGUCAACGAUGAAUGGUAGUUACUAGAGAAAAGAUUCUAGAGACGAUGUUAACACGUAAACCAUUCCGCCUUGUGAGUACGACUGCAAAGUUGAAAACAAAAAAAUUAGUCGGUUUUCGGAGCAAAACGAAGUGAAGCAUGUUAUU
rnacentral:rRNA from 1 species